rnacentral:rRNA from 1 species
UACGUAGGGGGCUAGCGUUAUCCGGAAUUACUGGGCGUAAAGGGUGCGUAGGUGGUUUCUUAAGUCAGAGGUGAAAGGCUACGGCUCAACCGUAGUAAGCCUUUGAAACUGGGAAACUUGAGUGCAGGAGAGGAGAGUGGAAUUCCUAGUGUAGCGGUGAAAUGCGCAGAUAUCAGGAGGAACACCGGUGGCGAAGGCGGCAUCCUGGACCAAUAUUGACGCUGAGGAGCGAAAGCCAGGGGAGCAAACGGG